GACGAACGCUGGCGGCGUGCUUAACACAUGCAAGUCGAGCGGUAAGGCCCUUUCGGGGGUACGACGAGCGGCGAACGGGUGAGUAACACGUGGGAACCGUUCCUAGGGGUACGGGAACAACUCAGGGAAACUUAGAGCUAAUACCGUAUACGUCCGUGAGGAGAAAGAUUUAUCGCCCUUAGACGGGCCCGCGUAGGAUUAGGUAGUUGGUGGGGUAAUGGCCUACCAAGCCUACGAUCCUUAGCUGAUCUGAGAGGAUGAUCAGCCACACUGGACUGAGACACGGCCCAGACUCCUACGGGAGGCAGCAGUGGGGAAUCUUGGACAAUGGGCGCAAGCCUGAUCCAGCCAUGCCGCGUGAGUGAAGAAGGCC
rnacentral:rRNA from 1 species